rnacentral:rRNA from 1 species
AUACGUAGGGGGCGAGCGUUGUCCGGAAUGAUUGGGCGUAAAGGGCGCGUAGGCGGCCCGGUAAGUCUGGAGUGAAAGUCCUGUUUUUAAGAUGGGAAUUGCUUUGGAUACUGUCGGGCUUGAGUGCAGGAGAGGUAAGUGGAAUUCCCAGUGUAGCGGUGAAAUGCGUAGAGAUUGGGAGGAACACCAGUGGCGAAGGCGACUUACUGGACUGUAACUGACGCUGAGGCGCGAAAGUGUGGGGAGCAAACAGGAUUAGAUACCCUGGUAGUCCACACUGUAAACGAUGAAUGCUAGGUGUAGGGGGUAUCGACCCCUUCUGUGCCGCAGUCAACACAAUAAGCAUUCCGCCUGGGGAGUACGGCCGCAAGGUUGAAACUCAAAUGAAUUGACGGG